GACGAACGCUGGCGGCGUGCUUAACACAUGCCAGUCGAACGGAAAGGCCCUGCUUUUGUGGGGUGCUCGAGUGGCGAACGGGUGAGUAACACGUGAGUAACCUGCCCUUGACUUUGGGAUAACUUCAGGAAACUGGGGCUAAUACCGGAUAGGAGCUCCUGCUGCAUGGUGGGGGUUGGAAAGUUUCGGCGGUUGGGGAUGGACUCGCGGCUUAUCAGCUUGUUGGUGGGGUAGUGGCUUACCAAGGCUUUGACGGGUAGCCGGCCUGAGCGGGUGACCGGCCACAUUGGGACUGAGAUACGGCCCAGACUCCUACGGGAGGCAGCAGUGGGGAAUAUUGCACAAUGGGCGGAAGCCUGAUGCAGCAACGCCGCGUGCGGGAUGACGGCCUUCGGGUUGUAAACCGCUUUCGCCUGUGACGAAGCGUGAGUGACGGUAAUGGGUAAAGAAGCACCGGCUAACUACGUG
rnacentral:rRNA from 1 species